CCUACGGGAGGCAGCAGUGAGGAAUAUUGGUCAAUGGACGAGAGUCUGAACCAGCCAAGUAGCGUGCAGGAUGACGGCCCUAUGGGUUGUAAACUGCUUUUAUGCGGGGAUAAAGUGAGGGACGUGUCCCUCAUUGCAGGUACCGCAUGAAUAAGGACCGGCUAAUUCCGUGCCAGCAGCCGCGGUAAUACGGAAGGUCCGGGCGUUAUCCGGAUUUAUUGGGUUUAAAGGGAGCGUAGGCCGUGGAUUAAGCGUGUUGUGAAAUGUAGACGCUCAACGUCUGACUUGCAGCGCGAACUGGUCCACUUGAGUGUGCACAACGCAGGCGGAAUUCGUCGUGUAGCGGUGAAAUGCUUAGAUAUGACGAAGAACCCCGAUUGCGAAGGCAGCUUGCGGGAGCACGACUGACGCUGAAGCUCGAAAGUGCGGGUAUCGAACAGGAUUAGAUACCCUAGUAGUC
rnacentral:rRNA from 1 species